rnacentral:lncRNA from 1 species
GAGGCCAAGGCGGGGGGGUGUGGGGGGGGGUCAGGACCCCCUUAUUCCUUCUUGCCCCCCCAUUUGGCCAUCUUAUUAUUGAUGGGCAUCUUCUGGAAGCGGCUGGACUUCAGGUACGCCGCCACCUUCUCCAGCGCCUUCUCCCCUGCAAACCACUUUCUGUCCCCCAGGAAGGCGGAGAAGAGCCGCAGUUUGCCGGGCAGCUGCUCCAAAUAUCCCGGCUUCAGCUUCUCGAAGUCGGGGCUGUAGCACACCAUCACUAGGCUCAUACGGAAGUCCAUCACCUGGUUCUCCAGCACGUCCACGCGCUGCCGCUCCUCCUCCGUGUCCCCACACAUGUUGUGCUUGCGGGCGAUGUAGCGCAGGAUGGCGUUGCUCUGGGUCAGUUUGACGUCGCCGUCGAUGAAGUAGGGGAGAUUUGGGAAGUCCAGCCCCAGCUUCUCCUUCUCGUUGAUCCAUUGGCUCUUAUCAUAAUCGGGGGCUUCCCCGCAGCUGUACAGUUUGUCCUCAUAGGGCGUCCCGGUGUGCUCCAGCAGCAGGCGGAUGGCGUGGGCCAGCCCGCGGAUAUCCCAGUAUCCCAACACCGCCAUUGCUGCGCGCACUCCCGACGGCGCCCCCCCCGCCCCCUGAGCCCCCCCGCAGCUCCUCCCUUUCCC